rnacentral:rRNA from 1 species
GACGAACGCUGGCGGCGUGCUUAACACAUGCAAGUCGAACGGUAAGGCCCUGCUUUUGUGGGGUUCUCGAGUGCCGAACAGGUGAGUAUCACGUGAGUAACCUGCCCUUUACUUUGGGAUAACUUCUUGAAACUGGGGCUAUUACCGGAUAUGACCUCCUUCUGCAUGGUUUUUGUUGUAAAGUUUCGGGGGUUGGGGAUGGACUCGCGGCUUAUCAGCUUGUUGGUGGGGUAGUGGCUUACCAAGGCGUUGACGGGUAGCCGGACUGAGAGGGUGACCGGCCACAUUGGGACUGAGAUACGGCCCAGACUGCUACGGGAGGCAGCAGUGGGGAAUAGUGCACGAUGGGCGGAAGCCGGAAGCAGGAACGCCGCGUGCGGGAUGACGGCCUGCGGGGUGUAAACCGCUUGCGCCUGUGACGAAGAGUGAGUGACGGUAAUGGGUAAAGAAGCACCGGCUAACUACGUG